CAGGCCUAACACAUGCAAGUCGAACGAAGGCUUCGGCCUUCAGUGGCGCACGGGUGCGUAACGCGUGGGAAUCUGCCCCUUGGUUCGGAAUAACAGUUAGAAAUGACUGCUAAUACCGGAUAAUGACGUAAGUCCAAAGAUUUAUCGCCGAGGGAUGAGCCCGCGUAGGAUUAGCUAGUUGGUGUGGUAAAGGCGCACCAAGGCGACGAUCCUUAGCUGGUCUGAGAGGAUGAUCAGCCACACUGGGACUGAGACACGGCCCAGACUCCUACGGGAGGCAGCAGUGGGGAAUAUUGGACAAUGGGCGAAAGCCUGAUCCAGCAAUGCCGCGUGAGUGAUGAAGGCCUUAGGGUUGUAAAGCUCUUUUACCCGGGAUGAUAAUGACAGUACCGGGAGAAUAAGCCCCGGCUAACUCCGUGCCAGCAGCCGCGGUAAU
rnacentral:rRNA from 1 species